rnacentral:rRNA from 1 species
CACAUGCAGUCGAACGAUGAAGCCAGCUUGCUGGUGGAUUAGUGGCGAACGGGUGAGUAACACGUGAGUAACCUGCCCUUGACUCUGGGAUAAGCCUGGGAAACCGGGUCUAAUACUGGAUACGACCUCCGGCCGCAUGGUCUGGUGGUGGAAAGCUUUUUUGUGGUUUUGGAUGGACUCGCGGCCUAUCAGCUUGUUGGUGGGGUAAUGGCCUACCAAGGCGACCACUGGUAGCCGGCCUGAGAGGGUGACCGGCCACACUGGGACUGAGACACGGCCCAGACUCCUACGGGAGGCAGCAGUGGGGAAUAUUGCACAAUGGGCGCAAGCCUGAUGCAGCGACGCCCGUGAGGGAUGAAGGCCUUCGGGUUGAAACCUCUUUCAUAGGGAAGAAGCGAAAGUGACGGU